rnacentral:lncRNA from 1 species
UCCACCUUUGGGAAUGCCUCAAGCAGUUAUUUCUGAGACACUCAUUAUAUUUCCGGCAAUUUGGAAUCUGGAAAGAAGGAGUCAAUAAGCAAACAGGUUAACUGCUAGACCUAGGUUAGCACUAGAUCUCAAAAAGUGCUAAACCAGACAUGGGGAAGUGUUAUACCAUUGAUCACAGAGAUGCCCUUCCUGUUACUCAAGAAGCACAGUCAUUCUCAAAGCCAGGAUUGCUGGGGUUAAAUACCUGGGAGUGAGAUUGCUGUGUCAUAUGAGACAACAACGCCGCAGGUGAUCUGGAGGCUCCUGGAGGACCUCAGCGACUCAGGUCCAGUCCAAGGAGGGCCGCAGAUCAGGCUGAAGAAGGAUGGAUCCACAUGCUUAGAGGAGAUCGAGAAAUGCAGCUGAGAGGUACGCUGUAUCUCUCCUACACGUGAGACCCCAGGAAGGAAAAGGACAGCUUGCCAGGUGUCCCCCUCCCGAGUUUCUAGCCCCAUUGACUGUGGGCGACAUCCCUGCACACUCUGGAGCAGUGCUGAAGUGAGUUUGUAUUGUAAUCGAAGGAGUUCUGCUGGUCUGCUGCUUAAGUAGGAAGGUUUGAAUUGGUUUCUCUCCUUCUAUUCCUCAGAUCCCACACUGUAACUACUAGUUUCCAAACUGCUUAUGUUUAUCUUUUGAACAGGAUAUGCUGCACUUCCUCUUUUCUUAGAAUGUUUUGCCUUCACAUUUUACCUAGUUGGCAUGUAAGAGAAAAGUAAUUUUUAAAUAUUGUUUCUAAUUUCUAAACAACUGCAAAAAAAUUACAAUGAAUAUUUUUACAUAUGUCUAGUGCAUACAUGUGAAAAUUUAGAAGUGUGAGGUGUGUGCACGUGUGGGAUCAUUGGGUGGGAGAUUAUGUGCAUAUUCAGUAAUACAUGUGUCAAAAAGCUCUUCAAAGUGCUUGUGCCAAUUUAAACUUCCCAAAGAACUAUCUGAGAGUACCACUGUUCUACAUCUUCAAUAAUACUUAAUAAUUUUUAAAUGUUACCAAAUGUUAAAUUUUUAAAUUCACAUGAGUAUUAAUUAUGUAUCUUAAUAUGUAUUUCCUUAAGUAUUCAUAAAGUUGAGAACGUUUUCAUGCUAUUAGCCAGUGGUUUUCUUCUUUUGUAAAGUGUUUAUUCAUACCCUUCACUCAUAUACACAUGGUAUUGUUUGCUUUUUGGUGUUAUUCUAUAGAUGUUAUUUGUAAGUUCUGAAUACUAAUUCUAUAGCUAUUAAAUAUCUAACAUAUAUAUUUUUACAGUGUAGUUUGUACACUCUGUUGUGAUUUCUAUUAUAUUGUGUUAAUAAAACAAAAUAGAGAAAAAUAAUUUUGAUAUUCAUCUGAUCUGCUGAUGU